rnacentral:lncRNA from 1 species
ACCUAGAGUCGUUGUCGUGCCGAGGCAGCAGGUUGACGGGGAACUCUGCCGUCAUGUUGAGCAGCGCCUCCAUGGAGAAGUAGGGGUAUGUGAAGUCCUCGAAGGAUUUGGACUGGAUGAGACGCUCAUCGAGUCCACGACUCCAGGGGGCAGAUGCACAAGGCGUACCUCAACACCGGCCGCCGCAACGAGAUCAUCCUCUCGGCGGGCGCCAUGGGCAGCACGC